GCGGAAGUCACGUGGUUUCUGAAUUUAGUAGUUGGUUGCUGCUCCCGGUUGCUAGCGGCUUAGACGAAGAAAGGGUCGCUGUCGCGGUUGUCUGCGGCGAAGCUCUUUGAAAGAGACAUUUAAAAUAAAACAAGACACCGACUUUUCUUUCAAGGGACCGGAGUUCCACUUGCAUUGAAACCUGUGACACACCGACACCGAAACAACGGAGGAAAGAUAAGAAAACAAUGUCCCACUAUCGUAGCUCGUCUCGGGCCACCGACUGCAAAGUGUAUGUGGGUGACUUGGGUAAUGGUGCGGCCAAGGGUGAGCUGGAACGAGCGUUCAGUUACUAUGGUCCACUAAGGAGUGUCUGGGUGGCGAGAAACCCACCUGGGUUUGCCUUUGUGGAGUUUGAGGAUCCACGGGAUGCAGAGGACGCGGUGAAAGGCAUGGACGGAAAGCUGCUCUGUGGAUCUCGUGUUCGUGUUGAGAUGUCGACAGGCAUGUCCAGAAAAGGCCGUGGUCGCCCCAGUCGACGCCAGUUUGACCCCAAUGAUCGUUGUUACCAAUGUGGGGACAGGGGCCAUUAUGCUUAUGACUGCUAUCGUUUUAGCAAAAGAGGCCGUCGCAGCAGGUCCCGUUCUCAUUCACGCUCACGCUCCAGGUCUAGGUCUCGUGGCCGCCGUUACCGCUCUCAUUCUCGUAGCCGUAGCAGGAGCCGCCGCAGAUCACCUUCUUACAACCGCCGCAGGAGCAGGUCUGGCUCCCCCGCCCGUUCCAGAAGUGCUGCAAGAAGUCGAUCCAGGUCUCGCUCUCGUUCUGGCUCUGCUCCAAGGCGCUCGUUUUCCCGCUCUCGCUCCAGAUCACCAUCAGCCAAUCACAAAAGAGCAAGGUAAAAUCUCCAAUCCAACUUUUUCAGUCAACUAAAACUCACUGUAGGCUGUUUGAUUAAAUUAGUUACUGUUUCUUAAGACAUUUACAUGAUAGAAUGGACCCCUAGUGAGACCCCAGUUAUUCACAUUGUAUCUUAAAUGUCAGCAAUUAUUGUCCUAUUCUUAGAAAAGAACAGUCUUUUUAGAGAAAGGUGCUCUAUGGUAGGUAGGUAUAGAUUGAUUGUUGGACAUAGAUCAUCCUCCACUGUGGACCUACAACCUGACGUGAAACAACCAUCAAAGACGAUUGCGGGGCGGAGACUUCCUCCACCAGGACAAGGGGGACGUGUGUGUCUUCUUUCUUCUGCUUCUGAUGUUGUCUCGUGUGGUGGGAGCUGACCACUGCACUGACACCGCAGCUGAUCCCAGGCCCAGGGUCUGCUAGCUGGCGGUGUGUACGACCUGCAGGAGGGUGACUUAAGUUCUGAGCUGAGAUCAGCCUUCGUCUGCAUCUGGUGUUAGACAGCGUGACAGAGGUCGACCUACCGACCGAAUCCUACCCACAGUGAAUGAGUGACCCGUCUAUUCAGCCAACGCACACGCUAAGACGAGAUCAUCCCCGCGCACACAUAGAGUUGUUCUACUAGAGUCACCCAACCAACAAGCCUUCAGGUCUACCAGAGGGCUGAUCCACACAGAUCAGAGUUCGACCUUUUUGUUCUUUUAAACCAUUACCUAUCUACCAGACCCCCUACGUACCUACCAGAGUUCUUCCGCCUCUGACUUAGCUUCUGAAAGAGAGCUGACGAGAGAUCAGUCUUCAAGAGCCUCGCAGCGCAGUGUCUCUCCAAGUUGUAGUCAUCCGCCCUUUCAUCCUUCGCUUCUCUGUACUUGUUGUUUCUGCCACUGUCUCCAAAGGUAACCAAAAAUCAACCCCCCCUGACAAGAUCAUGUUAAAUAAAAAUUCAGACAUUAUAUGGUCAGUUAAAAUAAGUGGUGAUUGUAGAGUUUAAGUAUAUUAUUCAAACCUGUUUUCUUGGUAAUAGUCAUGCAGGUGUUAGCUCCUGUGUCUUUUUUUUUUAAUCUAAUCUAGCAUUGAACUUCAUUCUUUCACUUGCCAUUAUUUUCACAAGGAGAGGAAAAUCAAGCUAUCUGUCCUAACGUGGCUGGGUAUGAAACUAACCCACACCAGAAGUGUUCUAUCUCUACUGUAGGCCAGUGGCUUCUGGUCCUGUUCCCUGUCAUAUUUCCUUUGCUUUAUAAAGCGCAUGAUGCUGAGGUUCAGAACUCCAUGCUUCCACAGUCUAGCCUGAUUUACUGUUUGCAGCACGACCUUAAGUCAAUACAUUUCAUUGUUUAAUAUUCUGCUUUAAUUUAGAGGAGAUUUGUUUUACACUUGGCUUUAAUACUAACUAAGCUAUCAACUGUUAGCAUAAAAAUUGCUUGUCCUAAAUAAACUAACCUGGUCAUGCAGAAUUUAAUUUUUUUAUGGAACAGCUUUGAGAAUCAGUAAGAGUCACUGGUCAAUUGCAGUAUAGUUCUGUAUGCAUUCCUAACUUUUCUGCCACUUCCACUGCUAAUGUUGCACCUGAGGCAUGGAAAAUGCAGCAUUGGCUAUUGACAUUCACAAUGGAUUUUCAUUAUUCCAAGUCUGGAGAUUAUGUUGCAUGUUAUAUUGUGAGACUAGUUAAAGUCAUUGAUCGCAGCCUUACUGGCUUGUUUAAAAAAUAUCUUCUAAAAGAUCAGUACUUGACCUCAAAGUAUUUCUCUCUCCUGGCGAGUAAAUGAAUGAUGUUUAAUGCUGUGCUUACUUGGGUUUCUUUCAGGACUGUGGGGAGUGUUGUAGCGCAAUACAGCUGUAGUAAUAGGUGCACACCACCUUUAACAUGCAUGUACAGUGUGUGGAUACAUAGUGUGUGGGAAUGACGAAAGAGUUUAUGGGAUUAGUAUUUGAGAGGCUUUCUCAGACACUAACGUUAUUUUCAAUCCUUUAUUUUUCGUCUGUGGCAGAGUCUUUUGUGGUCUAAGGACCAGCAGAAGUCACUGUCGUGCACUUAUGACGUUAUCUUGAAAGUGAUUGAUCUGAUGCACUUCACUUUUUCAGUUUGAUAUCAACUAAAUUCUUAACACUUUUUAAAAUAAAUAUUUAAAAGAAAAACAUUUUUUUUAGAGCCCCAGAAAUGGAUACAUUUCAGGUUAGAUGUGUUUCAGCUUAGUCAUUCAGAGAAAUUGUGUACUUGUUUGUUCUGUCUUUGUGGCAAGCUAACACUUGUCUGUUUCUGUUUCAGUCGUUCCCGUUCAGGAAGUCCACACCCACACCGAAGCCCUACGCCAGCAGAAGACUGAGCAUCGAUGCCCUUUACACAGACACACACACACACAAUCACAUGGCACACUGCAUCACGUCUAUUUUUUGUUUUGUUUUGUUUUGUUUAAUUUUUUUUUUAGCCCUUCUGAAGUGUUUUUUGUUUUUUCUUGUGUUCUGUUGUUGAUGCAGGACUGUGUUAAAUACAGCCUUAUAGUCAAAACUAAAGUCAGUUCACCUGACAACGUGGUUUCAUGAGAUUGUUUUAAGUGCACUGCUGCUGCCUCGUGUCCUGUUUUCUAAAAGGUGUAAAGGUGACAGUGAAUGUUGCAGUUUGACUUUUAGCAGAGACUGUUCAUUCAAAAAAAAAGAGGAAUACCUGGAUGAUGGAGGUAAGGAAAUCAAAGAAGCUUUUACAUGCUUAAAGCCUUUCCCAGACUCUAAACCAAUUUAUUUGAUUUCACUCUGUUUAAGUUGUGUGAAAGGUUAAGUAAAAAAAAAUUCAUUUUUUUCCCUCGAAGUGACAAAAAUAAACCAUUAGCAUGCAUGCCCUUGAAUUGCCACAUUCCAAAUGUUUCUGUGCUGCACUGCUCACUAUUGGUUAUGUGUAGGUUCAUCAGUUCUUCCAGAGACUUGUAGUUUUAAAGUAAACAACAGUGCUGUAGUAUGAUUCUGAGGGUUAUUCUACAUGUUUGGUUCAGUUACUGGCCUCUGUGAUUAAACAGUUUUAUUUUUGAAUAAACCCUAAUCAUAGCCCUGUG